rnacentral:lncRNA from 1 species
UAUGUGUCGUUUUGUUUAUGUAUAUUGCUGGUGUAUAUUGACUCAGUGUGCAGUAACCAUGUCUUUCUAUCUUCGGAAGGCAUGGUCAGUAGAACACCUGCACAACAGUAUCCAUGGCUGCAUGUUUUGUGUACAGAUUGGUUGGCAUAUGUGUUUACUUGUUGUGGACAGCCAGUACCAGUGAGUUGGCACAAAGAGCCUGGUCUCCUGACGCAUAUAUUGGAAAUCAAUUCUGUGCAUGCAAGCCACCAACAAGCCUCUGUAAUAUCCCUGUUACUGCAACUCCCUGGAAAGGAAAAUGCAUGAUUAGCAUGCAGAUAUUAGUAAUUAUCGUUUUACCUAAACAUGUUUGAUCAAUGACCCUGCUUAUCUUGUGACCUCUUACUUGAGGGUUAUUCUGAAAACUUUGUUGACAUGAAAUUGGCUCAGUGUUUUUCAAUAAAAAGUUAAUUGACAUUGAAUGAAUGGAUGCAUGCCCACGUUCAGGAUGCUGACCAUCUACAAUGGGUUUAGUCAGGUGAUUAGCUUUUUCCAUGACUUGAUCAAAACAAUGAGUAUGUUUCCUGUAAUAUAAAGAUGUAAUGAAAUACUUCCUGUGGUUUUGGUUCUUGUUUUAAUGUCUCAUUCAAUCUGUUGAUAAGCGAUUCCACUCUGCCAUGCUCAGUCUUAACAUUAGCUAUGGCAAAGACGUAACACUUCCCAUCCCAUUUGGGUACUGUGAGACUAAGACUGCUGAUGCUCUUCCCGCUAAAAUGAACUUCUCUCACAGAGCUUCCAUUCUUAUCUCUAUGCAAAGCAAAAGGAUUUAAAGGGGCCUUCGUCUUAUGUCUGUGACGACGAUCAUAUCUACGAUGUCAGAUGGGAUUCAGUGCUAUUGUUGAAGAGGGAUUUGAUAAGGCCAGUGUAACGCAUAAGAAAUAGUUCAAAUGUAAUUUCCGCCUUAAAACAGUGUUAGCAGUCACACAGUGGUAGAUCAAUGCUUCCCUGUGUCUUAUUGAGAUCAUAUAUUUUCAAGCAACGAGGUACUGAUUCUUAUUGCAACCGCAACCACCUGUAUCUUAAAAGGUAAUUAUAUCCACUUGGGCUGAGAAAUACUGUCAAAACAAUACGAUAUGAAAUAUCGUCAACAAUAAUAUCCCGAUAUGUAACUGUAUCCAUUUUCCUCCAUCACCAAUAUCCACAAUUAUUGAUUUCAAUUAGCUCAUGCUAGUGCCCAGAGCUGCCGUAGUAAGAUACAGUAUCAAAACCCUGACAAUGCUGCAACAGUAACAAUCAAGCUUUGAAUUCUAGUUGUGUUUUUCAGUUCCGUCAUGCCAGCUGUACCAUGAAAGGAUUUGCUGAGCUGUGAGAGAUGAGCUCUUGGAGGACACCGGGCCCCCCAUCGGCCCUCCCGGUUGGGGUGUCUCCCCAAUUACUGUGGUGCUGGUGAGGACGGCCUACACCUGGCUGGUGUCUCAGCGAGUUCUCCCUAGUCUUCAUCAUCGGUACCCAGAGUACAUUAGAGGUGGUGAGAGGCUAGCAGGGCGGAGGUGGAGGGUUGGAGAGAAGCGGUUUUAGAGCCGCACUGUGCCACUCCACACGGGGCCUCUCUCUCUCACACACAGGCUGGCAGGUGGUAGAAACACAACAAUAAAGCCCUGUGCCAUGUUAUUCCUGAGAACGCAUGUCAUGGCCUCC